CCACCACCAAAGCAUUCUCUGGUGUUGAAGGCCCUGCAAAGCAGCAUCGCGGUGGCGGAGCGUCGUUUGCGACGCCCAACACACAAAACAAGCGGUGAGUGCUUUGGGGUGGGGUGACUGCGUACCUUUUGUAUAAUGGGUCAGCGACUUAUAUUCUGUAGCAAGGUUAACCGAAUAGGGGAGCCGGAGGGAAACCGAGUCUUAAUUGGGCGUUAAGUUGCAGGGUAUAGACCCGAAACCCGGUGAUCUAGCCAUGGGCAGGUUGAAGGUUGGGUAACACUAACUGGAGGACCGAACCGACUAAUGUUGAAAAAUUAGCGGAUGACCUGUGGCUGGGGGUGAAAGGCCAAUCAAACCGGGAGAUAGCUGGUUCUCCCCGAAAGCUAUUUAGGUAGCGCCUCGUGAAUUCAUCUCCGGGGGUAGAGCACUGUUUCGGCUAGGGGGCCAUCCCGGCUUACCAACCCGAUGCAAACUGCGAAUACCGGAGAAUGUUAUCACGGGAGACACACGGCGGGUGCUAACGUCCGUCGUGAAGAGGGAAACAACCCAGACCGCCAGCUAAGGUCCCAAAGUCAUGGUUAAGUGGGAAACGAUGUGGGAAGGCCCAGACAGCCAGGAUGUUGGCUUAGAAGCAGCCAUCAUUUAAAGAAAGCGUAAUAGCUCACUGGUCGAGUCGGCCUGCGCGGAAGAUGUAACGGGGCUAAACCAUGCACCGAAGCUGCGGCAGCGACGCUUAUGCGUUGUUGGGUAGGGGAGCGUUCUGUAAGCCUGCGAAGGUGGCCUGUGAGGGUUGCUGGAGGUAUCAGAAGUGCGAAUGCUGACAUAAGUAACGAUAAAGCGGGUGAAAAGCCCGCUCGCCGGAAGACCAAGGGUUCCUGUCCAACGUUAAUCGGGGCAGGGUGAGUCGACCCCUAAGGCGAGGCCGAAAGGCGUAGUCGAUGGGAAACGGGUUAAUAUUCCCGUACUUGGUGUUACUGCGAAGGGGGGACGGAGAAGGCUAUGUUGGCCGGGCGACGGUUGUCCCGGUUUAAGCGUGUAGGUGUGUGUUCCAGGUAAAUCCGGUUCACUUUAACACUGAGGCGUGAUGACGAGGCACUACGGUGCUGAAGCAACAAAUGCCCUGCUUCCAGGAAAAGCCUCUAAGCAUCAGGUAACAUCAAAUCGUACCCCAAACCGACACAGGUGGUCAGGUAGAGAAUACCAAGGCGCUUGAGAGAACUCGGGUGAAGGAACUAGGCAAAAUGGUGCCGUAACUUCGGGAGAAGGCACGCUGACAUGUAGGUGAAGUGAUUUACUCAUGGAGCUGAAGUCAGUCGAAGAUACCAGCUGGCUGCAACUGUUUAUUAAAAACACAGCACUGUGCAAACACGAAAGUGGACGUAUACGGUGUGACGCCUGCCCGGUGCCGGAAGGUUAAUUGAUGGGGUCAGCGCAAGCGAAGCUCCUGAUCGAAGCCCCGGUAAACGGCGGCCGUAACUAUAACGGUCCUAAGGUAGCGAAAUUCCUUGUCGGGUAAGUUCCGACCUGCACGAAUGGCGUAAUGAUGGCCAGGCUGUCUCCACCCGAGACUCAGUGAAAUUGAACUCGCUGUGAAGAUGCAGUGUACCCGCGGCAAGACGGAAAGACCCCGUGAACCUUUACUAUAGCUUGACACUGAACAUUGAGCCUUGAUGUGUAG
rnacentral:rRNA from 1 species